AACGAACGCUGGCGGCAUGCCUAACACAUGCAAGUCGAACGAGACCUUCGGGUCUAGUGGCGCACGGGUGCGUAACGCGUGGGAACCUGCCCUUAGGUUCGGAAUAACUCCCCGAAAGGGGUGCUAAUACCGGAUAAUGUCUUCGGACCAAAGAUUUAUCGCCUUUGGAUGGGCCCGCGUUGGAUUAGCUAGUUGGUAGGGUAAAAGCCUACCAAGGCGACGAUCCAUAGCUGGUCUGAGAGGAUGAUCAGCCACACUGGGACUGAGACACGGCCCAGACUCCUACGGGAGGCAACAGUGGGGAAUAUUGGACAAUGGGCGAAAGCCUGAUCCAGCAAUGCCGCGUGAGUGAUGAAGGCCUUAGGGUUGUAAAGCUCUUUUACCCGGGAUGAUAAUGACAGUACCGGGAGAAUAAGCGCCGGCUAACUCCGUG
rnacentral:rRNA from 1 species